CGACCCGGCCAUAGCGGCCGGGCAACACCCGGACUCGUCAGAUCCCGGAAGUUAAGCCGGCCGCGUUGGACGAGGCUGUGGAGUCCGAAAGGCUCCGCAGCCCGUCCAAGCCGGGAUCG
rnacentral:rRNA from 1 species